UCCCUAAUGGUCCAGUAGUUAAGACUCUGUGCUCCUAAUGUAGGGGCCUGGGUUCAAUCCCCAGUUAGGGAA
rfam:Ovis aries breed Texel chromosome 2, whole genome shotgun sequence.